rnacentral:lncRNA from 1 species
GGAAGCGCCGACGACACGGUAACGGCUGUGGUGGGGGGGAGGAGAAGGCACGUCGUCGCGGGGCCUUCCCCCGCUCUGCCUUUCCCGUCACCCCCCUCUGUAGCGGCCGGGCUGACGUAAAUUCAUCGCCAGUUCCGAGUCCAUUAUUCCGAGUCUGAAAGUCGCCCCGUGUUCAUUCGACCAUCUGUGGCGGACGCCGGUGGUUCCAGGACUAGCGAACCCCUUGCCGGCACGGGCUAGCGCGUGCGCGACCGUCGUGGAACCCCCUUGCGUGCGCCCGCAUCCGCCUCCGAACUUCGUCGCACCAUGACGGCCCUCAGAUCAGAGCAGCUGAGAUGCUCUCGCGGUCUCCUCCUGCUCCUCGUGGCCACCUCGUCGUUCGCUUCGGCGCAGCUGGCCGGCAAUUCCACGCACGCUGUGCCUGUGACGGGCCUCUCUGUCGGCCGGACUUCGACGACCACGACGACGGCAAAGCCGGACCCCAUCAAGGAGGCUUUCGACUCCCUGUCCGAACGGAUCACGCGAAUCAUGAUGAAGGAGUUCUACCCCAUGGUCAGCGAGCUCAUCUACGACCAGCGCCUUUCAACGGGCUGUAUCGGAUCGCUCAUGAAGAUCGGCCCGGCCUUGCAAAACUUCGACAUCUGGGCCGUAGAAAUGGUGGACGCCAUCGGCAAGCCGCACGCAGGCGCGACCCAGGGCCGCAUCGCUGCCUACGGCGCGUACGAACAGUGUCCUGGGCAUUAGGCACAACGAGAACCUGUUCCAGGGCAGGUACUGCAUGAUACACAUGUACCACGACGGUUCUGACCUGCCACCUACGGUGUACAAAAUCGCCGACAAGUUCCUCAAGCACCAGAAGCUCGAGGUGAUAUAUCGGAAACAUUUCACGAGUGGCCGACAAGGAGUUCGUGUCUUUGAUCCCGCUUCUCAAGUACGGCGUUUGUUUACCUUCCAUCUGUCAUCAGGAGGACGUCCAAGUCAUCAUUGACCACUUUGUCGGUGAACUCGACCUUAAUAUCACGGCCCAAUGGUGCAAGGUCGAGGAGCCAGUAAAGUUGGAUCAACGGCAAACUCUAAUUGUGUGCCUAUUCGUGCUGUGGACAGCCUUUAUUCUCUUCGGGACCUGCCUACGACAUCUACAGGACGAUGCUGUCGACGGAAGAAAUCAAGGAACCUAAAUACCACCCAUUCAUAACCUACCUGUCCGACUCGGUACAGUCGGUCUCUCUUCGAAGGGCGUUCAAGAAACUGAUGGAUAUGCCCAACUGGGGCGACUACUCCAACAGGCUUGGGUUCAUUCACGGCGUGCGCGUCUUCUCUGCUACGUGGGUCGUUCUGGGGCACAGCCAUAUGCUUCGGGACCUGCACGCCAGCUCCAACAUGAUUCGUUUCCUCAGGCGGAUACAGGAGGACUUCUUGUUCACUGUCCAACUGAACGCCUUCUUGUCUGUCGAGACGUUCCUUGUCAUAACGUAAGUACUAAGGUAGCUAACACGCAAAUC